CGAGAAUCUGCGGAAAGAGGAUUCGUCCAAUUGAAGCAGAGGACAGUGGCGGACGGGUGAGUAACGCGUGAGGAACCUGCCUUUCAGAGGGGGACAACAGUUGGAAACGACUGCUAAUACCGCAUGACAUAUAGAUGUCGCAUGGCAUUUAUAUCAAAGAUUUAUCGCUGAAAGAUGGCCUCGCGUCUGAUUAGCUAGUUGGUGAGGUAACGGCCCACCAAGGCGACGAUCAGUAGCCGGACUGAGAGGUUGAACGGCCACAUUGGGACUGAGAUACGGCCCAGACUCCUACGGGAGGCAGCAGUGGGGAAUAUUGGGCAAUGGGCGCAAGCCUGACCCAGCAACGCCGCGUGAAGGAAGAAGGCUUUCGGGUUGUAAACUUCUUUUGUCUGGGACGAGUAGAAGACGGUACCUGACGAAUAAGCCACGGCUAACUACGUGCCAGCAGCCGCGGUAAUACGUAGGUGGCAAGCGUUGUCCGGAUUUACUGGGUGUAAAGGGCGUGUAGCCGGGAGGACAAGUCAGAUGUGAAAUCCACGGGCUCAACUCGUGAACUGCAUUUGAAACUACUCUUCUUGAGUAUCGGAGAGGCAAUCGGAAUUCCUAGUGUAGCGGUGAAAUGCGUAGAUAUUAGGAGGAACA
rnacentral:rRNA from 1 species